CCGUAGCUCAGUGGAUAGAGCGUCUGACUACGGAUCAGAAGGCCGGGGGUUCGAAUCCCUUCGGG
rnacentral:tRNA from 1 species